GACGAACGCCGGCGGCGUGCUUAACACAUGCAAGUCGAGCGGUAAGGCCCUUUCGGGGGUACACGAGCGGCGAACGGGUGAGUAACACGUGGGUGACCUGCCCUCAGCUCUGGGAUAAGCCUGGGAAACCGGGUCUAAUACUGGAUAUGACUCCAUGACGCAUGUUGUGGGGUGGAAAGCCUUGUGCGGCUGAGGAUGGGCCCGCGGCCUAUCAGCUUGUUGGUGGGGUGAUGGCCUACCAAGGCGACGACGGGUAGCCGGCCUGAGAGGGCGACCGGCCACACUGGGACUGAGACACGGCCCAGACUCCUACGGGAGGCAGCAGUGGGGAAUCUUGCGCAAUGGGCGAAAGCCUGACGCAGCGACGCCGCGUGAGGGAUGACGGCCUGG
rnacentral:rRNA from 1 species